rnacentral:rRNA from 1 species
GACAGAGGGGGCAAGCGUUGCUCGGAAUCACUGGGCGUAAAGGGCGCGUAGGCGGGAUGGCAAGUCGGUCGUGAAAUCCUUCGGCUCAACCGAAGAACGUCGGCCGAUACUGCCGUUCUUGAGGGAUGCAGAGGAGACUGGAAUUCCCGGUGUAGCGGUGAAAUGCGUAGAGAUCAUGAGGAAGACCAGUGGCGAAGGCGGGUCUCUGGACAGUUCCUGACACUGAGGCACGAAGGCCAGGGGAGCAAACGGG